GGCGCGCGGGCCGGCUGAGCUCACGCGCCCGGGAAGCGGCCGCGGCGGAGCAGGAGUCCGCAGCUGCUGCGCAUCUUCUGCCUCCCGCGGGGCGCUCGGGGGGCGGCGAGGCCGGUGGCUCAGUCCCCCCGGAAGGAGAAGGCCGCGGUUAGGGGGCGCGGAGGUGCGUGUGGAGGAGGAGGCGGGCAGGCCAGAGGCUUAUAGCUCGGGAGAGGCCAGGAGCCGCUGGAGAUGCCCCUGAGAUCUCUAGGCAGCCCCCCCACCCCCGAAAAUUAACAAAGUGGGUGUGGUGGUGAACGUGGAGGAGUUUGAUGAAGACCCGGCCCGGAACAGCCCUGAAAUGCCCCGAGGCCGCCUGGCUCCCGCGUGCAUACCCAGGAGCCGCAUGUCCUGAGCCCUCUGCAGAGGCUGGGGUUGUGGGGUGGGAACGCCCGCGGUUGAAGCUCCAGCAACAGAGGCAGCUCCACAGAGGACCGGCAAAUGACAACAGAGCAGAGGGACGGCUGGCCCCGCCAAUCCCGGAGCCGCUGCAGCACUUGUUCCCCAAACUGACACAUUCUGGUGCAAGAACAGAGAGGAGGGGGCCGCUGGCUCACACCGCCUCCCCUGCCCGCAGCCCUGGCUUCGCUGUGCAAGCGCCUAGACAGAGGCUGCUGUGGGCCAGGGUGGUGAUGGCGCUGCAGCCCCUCCCUGUGCCCAGCGUGGGAAGAAGAAUGCAGAGCCAGGCAAGUCUCUCUCUGUGUCCUCUGGGGAGGAAGAAGCAGGUAUAGACAGGGCUGGGGCAGCCAGGGCCUGGUGUUGCUUUGGCAUGGGUGGCGAGAGGGCUGUUCCUCCAGCCCCCAGGGUCUGGUUCCACCCCUGGCCUGUCCCUGGCACUCAGCAACUGCGUCUAUGUGCUUAUUGGUGCCACCAUGUUAUAUAACGCUUAUAUAAUCUCCAAGGCGAGCACUGUGUCUCCGCUCCCAGGUCACGCAGACACUGUGUCCGUGUAGGAGGCAGGAUCUGUGGAAGCCUGUGGGUGGGCCUGCUCCCCCGUCCUCAGCCCGGCUCCGUCUCCUGAUCCCAGGCAUAGGAGGGGGACUGGAGAACAGCGGCCCACUCCACGCCAGCUGUCCGGGGCUGAGAGAGGGGUUGGCAGGCAGCCCUCAUCACCUUAUUGUCCCUGUGGUCCCUCUGGCCCAAUGGGCUGUCUGGUGGAGUGAAGGCCCUUCUUGCACUUUGAGGCCGGUUUUUUGUGCUUGGGGCCCCUGGCAUGGCAGGUAGGUGUGGUGAGAUGACCCCCAGCAUGGUGCAGUGGAAGAAUACGUGGCACAUAGGGUUGGAUCAAGAGAGGGAGAGGUUAACACCGCCUUUGAGGUUUUGUGCAAGAGUAACUAGAAGGGUGGUAGUGGCAUUAUAAAUUUGGAGCAGGCUUGGGAACUAGAGGAUGGUCAGGGAAGGGUGUACCGGGAAGUGGAUCAGACAGCAAAGAUAAACAUGGUGUUCUUUUACUGUACUCUCCACUGGGCUGUCCCUGGUUACCAGGGCAACAGAAGCAGUGAUGAAAAUCAUGCCUUUCCUUCAGUGGAAAAAUCUGGCUCCUCCUCCCGCCUCUUCCUUCUCUCAUCGCUUGUGACCCAUUGGGAGGGUGAUGGCUCCAGGGAUCAGAGACCCCAACAUAUCCCCCUGUCAGGUCCCCUUUCUCCAAUUUUUAAUUUUUUUUAAAUCAUCUCUCGCCUUCCUGCGUCACCUGUCUCCCCCAGAGCUCGGCAAUUGCGUAGGAUUUGCAAUGGAUGGAGGGGGAAGGGUGUGGACGUCACUGCAGGGCAAGAUGAGCAGAGCGUGGGCAGAGAUGUGCGUGCAGGAAUGACUGGCACACAGGGAGGGUCAUGCAUUGAUCAGCUCAAUGGAGCUUGCUGCUUGGGAUCGUAGUCGCUGGGGGUGGCUAGGGCAGGUGAAAUGGUGGAGGGCCUGCAGGGCCUGGCAGAAUGGGCUUGCGGUGGUAGGAUAUAGGGAGGCCUGGAGGUUUCUCGAGUUGCCCCUGAUGAAAGCUGGGACUCAUUUAUUUGUUCAUUCAGCAUUUUUCGGAUGCCUACCAUAUUAGUAAGGUUUUGGUGGCUCGGAAGACAGAGGUAGGUGGGACUGGGCCUUGACCUUGAAGAGAUGGUAGUGGAUGGGAGCAGGAUGAUUAUAUUGAGGAACAUCAGCCUGGCAUUGUUACAAGCCUGGAAGCUGGAGCCCCUGGCAGAAGGCUGGCAGUAUUCCAGAAGGGAAGGUGCUGACAUUCUGAGCCUUGGUGAUGGACAGAAAUAGAAAAAUCAGGAUUCAAGCUUGUUUGGAGGUAUCAUGUCUGAUUGGCUUUUAAACAUAAUGCUUCAAGACAUGGCAGGGUGAGUGGAUAGAAAGAUUAUGGUCAGGCAAACAAAGUUUGCAAUGGAAGUCAGUUCUGGGAAGAGAUUUAGUGGAAUGGUACUGUGAAGCCUUGAAGGUACGAGGUUGCUGAGAAGGUAUGUAGAGCAAACCCAGGGCCUGGGGCAUUGGCCUAGAAUUGGGUAAGGCUGUAUGUCUUGCCCUUGUUUAUUAUCCCAGGGUCUGCCCAGACUGCUGGACCAGUUUCUGCUAAUGAAUACCCAUGUCUUCUACCAAACCACACCCCUUUUUGAAGUUCAUGUUUCUGUUUAACUUUCUUCUCCCUGGUAACUAUGUCCAGGAGGUAUGUUCUGGAAAAAUAGAUAUAUACGCUUACCUCUCCAAGCUCCCUUCCUGACCUUUGCUGUACUGUUCACUUAUAAAUGACUGAGAGGCCCUAAGAUGUGCUGUAAAGUCAGGCCAUGGGUUCUUAGCCUCCCCCAGCAAGGCUGUUUGUUCUGGUUCCUUUCCAGUCAUCACUCCAGAAGAAUAAGAGCACUGGACAGAGAGUCAGGAGGCCUUUGCUAGCUACAUGGUCAUAGGCAGGCAAGUCAUUUCCUUUUCCAGGCCUUAGAGCCUAGUUGAAUGGGUCUAAUUUCUUCUAGCUCAAAGGCCUUUGAAUUUGAUGUCCAAAGCUUUUUACACCUUUGCCUAGGUUUCUGAUGCUGGCCAGGCUUUGUGCACAAGUAGCCCAGAUUUCUUUGGUGUCUUGUGGGAGGGAGUAGGCGGAAUGGAGGUCUGGUCCCUAGAGUAGGGUCCUGUCUCCAGAGCUCUCCGGGUGGAAGGUGGCCUCUGCUCCUCCUGGUAUCAUGGAAGUGCCAGGAGAGGAGGUUUUCCCAGUGCUCAGAAGUUGGCAAACUAAAGCCCAUGGGCCAGAUGCCUGCUAUUGUAAAUAAAGUUUUAUUGGAACACAGAUAUGCCCAUUGUUUAUGUAUUGUAUAUGGCUGCUAUCAGGCUACUGAUGUAGUUGAGUAGUUGCAACAGACCAUAUGACCUGCAAGCCUAAAAUAUAUACUGUCUUAUCCUUUAAGAAAUUUGCCAACCCAUCAUAAAAGUGCUUGAAUCUCUGUUGGAGAUGCUUCCUGUGGCCAUUUGAGAUGCCUAGGGUUCUUGAAGAUUCUGCAUUGGGCCUUCUUUUGUGAUGCCAUGAAAGGAUGUUGAAACAGUUGAGGUAGUAGAUUAUUGGAGUCAGCUCAAGGAUAGUAGUCCUUACCUGGGAUACCCCUUUCAUUUUCAGCCCUUUCCCUGGAGCCUGGAGGGUGUCUUUGAGCUGGGAAGCCUGGAUUCCUUAACAGGGAUGGGUGUGGCCUUGGUGGGACAAGCUACCCUUUUCUCCUGAUUUCCCAGGCCUGUAGAGAGGAGAAUGGACCAACCCAAAGUCGGUCUCUGGUGAGCAGGAGAGGCUCACUGGUUCUGCCAAGGCCUGUGGCCUGUUUCUCGUAUAUCUUUGCUUUAUCACCUCAGGCCUCACUGUCCCCUUCAGCACCAAGGCCCUUGGACAUGUAUCUGCAGAGAGAGCCUGCAGCCCAGCCUACUUUGUCAGCCUGAACCUGGCCCGUAGCCGCUGUGUCAGAACAAGACCCUGUGCCCUGGAGUCUCAGGGUGUGUGUGUGUGUGGGCAUGGGACCAGAAUGAGUACUCAGUGUUCUUGCAGCCAACCUUUACGGGGUCCUCUCCUGUCCAGGUUUCCACCUUUGUGACCUGGCUCUUAAACUGGGUACUGGUGAAACUCCUGGGCAGGAACAGGACAGGCCACCCUCCCUUCUUGCUACGGAACAGCAGCAGCGCAGCCGUUGGGUCACUUCUGCUCAGAGCUGAGAUAGGAAGUGAGACACUUCAGUCGCAGGAGGAAACUGCGUGUUCUGGAGCAGUGGGGUCGGGGGAGGGGGUGUGACUGAGGUUUAUUCCCAUUGCAGCGGGAAGGGAGGAGGCCGGCAGUGGGAGGGGGGAGCAGACAACCCAGAAUAGCAAAGAAGACAGAAGCUAAGCACACUCAGGGCUGCUUUUAGCUGAUAAUGGUAAGCCUGGCUCUGGGAUCUGACUUCACACCUCCCCUACACACAUUUUCCCCAGAGGCCGGGUCUGACUAUUCCCAUCAAAAAAAAAAAGAAAGAAAGAAAAAAAGGUUCUCAUCAUAAUUCUUCUGUGAAUACCUUACAUUUGUAGAGCUUAGGGUGACCCAUACUACCUGGGCUUAAAGUGACGUUGAGACAAGUGCACUGACUUGGAGAAACAUCCGUUUCCCAGAUAUUUAUUAAGGAUCUAUUAUGUGUUGGGCACCGUGUGAAGUUCGGAAGAUGCAGAGGAAAAUAAAAGGUUGAUAGUCUGAUCUGGAAGGUGUACGGAUAGUUUAACAAAUUUUAAGACAAUCUGCACUGGAUCCUGAGCUUCAGGAGAGCAUGUCUGUGUCUGUCUUGGUCAUUGCUGCCACCCUGGCAUGGGAAUUGUGCUUGGCACCCGGUCAGCAUGCACAUGUUUACUUGUAGAGCCCGUCCUUAUUUGGUCUGUCCUGGAAAUGUGUAGGAGCGAUCUGAGUAGGUAAGUGGAGGGAGGAGAAGAGAGUUAUGGCAGCAAGUGUAGCAAACUGGGAGGAAGAUGGGCACACCAGUGGUGUGCCUGCUAUUACAGAAGGAGGAUAUCGAAGGGUUACCACCGUUGGGAAUGAGCGAGUCCUUGGCAUUAAGACCAUGAGAAAGGAGGGGAAGGGCCAGGUAUGAAGAAGCAAGUGGUGACAGCUCACACUACCCUGCUGGAUGAAACAGCAGGCUAAAAAAUAAAAUGAAAGAACCAGCCAGGGGCAGGGAAGGUGAUGCUCGGGAGGGAGAGUACCCAUGUGACAGGAAACGGGAGGUGUCUGUAGGCCCAGGGAGAAAGCAGAGCCGAAGCAGGUGAGUCCUGAUGAAGAUGGUGGUGGUAAUGAUGACAGGAGGGCGCUCAGCUCUGUUCUGCAGGUGUCCUCAGAAGUGACCGUGUCCGGGUAUCACCCAAAGACCACAUCCCUGCAGUGGGGCAGAUGCAAGGAGACUGACUGCAUUUGAGAUCACAGUCACUCCUUUUUAAAAUCCUUGCUAUGGAAGUGGUCCCAUACAUGUGAAUGUAGAAAGUUGGUCUGCGCAAAUUUGGUGUUGCCAUCAUUCAGCUUCAACAUCGUGAGCACGUGGCCCCUUGCAUUUCCCUUGGAUCCCCACCCACCUUAUUCCUUAUUCCUUUCUUGUAUUAUUUUACAGCAAAUCCCAGACAUCGUUAUUUCAUCCUUAAAUACCCUAUUAUGGGUCUCUAAAAGAUAAUGCCUUUGAAAAACCUAACUGCUUGCAGGAUCGCCCCUUGCAGAAGCAGUCAUUCCUAAAUUUCUCCAGUCUUCCAGUGUUUAAAGUGCCUGCUUCUCUCAGUUUUUUUAAUGGUUUUGUUUGAAUCAAGUUCCAAACAAGGUCCACAUGUUUCAUUUAAUUGAUGACUAAUCUCAAGUUCUCUUGUUAAAAUAAAGAUUAUGAUCAUCCUUUAAGGAAUUCAUGUUUCAGAGUUCUACCAUUUAGAUUUCCUUAGCUGCUCCCCACCUCCCGACCCCCAACUCCAGUGUCAUCGGCCAUCAGCAGCUUUUGUGAAUUUUGUUGAGCCCUUUUGUGAUUCUUGAGCUUUCCUCCUGUCCCUUUGCCUUUGUGGUUUAAGGUGACUCUUCAUUUAUUCCUUCCUUCACUGAAUAUUUCUUGAGAGCCUGCUCUGGGCCAGACAUUGUACUGGGCACUGGGCAUACAGCUGUGAAAAGACAGCCCUGCUCGUAUGGAGCUUACAGUCUAAUCACCUGAGCACUGUUGAGGGUCUGCUUGUUGUCUUCCCCACCAUGUUCACCCUGCUGACCUUGGACAAUGACUGUCCCUUCUGUGCUGAGAGAUCUGCCAUGUUCUUGGACUGGUUAUUCGUGGGCUUGUGCUGUUGUUUUAUGUGGCUGAUAAGAGGUGUCCCUUAUGCAGAGAUUUGCAUUUCUCUGUAAAUAAAUAAUCAGACUUAGCUUUGGUCCCCUAACCUUGAUUUUUGAGGAUGGUCUAUGAUUUUUGUAAUUUUUCCAUCUGCAGGGCAAAUGCAGCUAUGUUGCGGUUCCUAGAUUAUAGUGUCUGAGCCUUUUAAAAAAUCUUAGUUAAUAACAAUAAACGUAUUCUCGAACUGUUCAAGAAGCCAGGUGUAGCUUCUGUGGCAGGCCUCUGUGUCCAUCAGUGUCACCAA